ACUAGAUAAACCACAAGUCCACAACAUACAUCGAUGAUGGGAGCGUGUGUUGACCAUUCCUAUCGGUGCACGACAUGCUUUAUGCACACAUGAGUAUCGCACAUGGAUCUUGAUAGAAUAUGAAGCCCAAAUAUCAAGUGGAGAAGGAUACAAUGGGCUUGCCGGAAAACAUAUGGGCACGGAGUGUGUUGAACAUGAGACAAGAAGUCUCUACCAUUAGAAGAGGUCAACUGGCAUCAAGCUCUUGGA
rnacentral:misc_RNA from 1 species